rnacentral:rRNA from 1 species
UACGUAGGGGGCAAGCGUUGUUCGGAAUGACUGGGCGUAAAGGGUGCGUAGGCGGUGUAGCAAGUUAGAAGUGAAAUACCUAGAGCUUAACUCAGGUGCUGCUUCUAAAACUGCUAUACUUGAGUGCAGUAGAGGAAAGUGGAAUUCCUAGUGUAGCGGUGAAAUGCGUAGAUAUAUGGAGGAACACCGGUGGCGAAAGCGGCUCUCUGGCCUGUAACUGACACUGAGGCUCGAAAGCGUGGGGAGCAAACAGG